rnacentral:lncRNA from 1 species
AGCAGGCUGAAUUUUGGAGAACCAAAAUUUAGAUUAAAGAGGACCGUUUCAGACUGAUCAUAAGUAGAUACUUAUAGAGGCCAGAUAUUUGUACGGCUAAAAGAGAACCUCUUCUCUUUUAGAUCCAAAUUCGAAGAAAAAGAUUGCGAAACAGAUAUGUGAUUUAAUCACAAUCUGAAUUUCAGCAUAUAUUAAUUUCAGCAUAUGAGAUAGAUUCAUAUGGUUUUAUAUUUUCAUGCAUGCAUAUUUUAGAUUAACAGUGUUUUAAUUUUAUUCUCUACUAUAAUAUUUAGAAAAUAAAAUUUUUAAAAUACAAAUACAUGCACUAAACCCCGAAUUCCAAUACAUUAUUGUCUCGUUUUGUAAGGGACAAGUAUUUAAAUUUAUGUACAAAUUUUAUAUUAUUGAACGAUGCCCUGCUUUCUCUUUAAUGAAUGUAUAUUUUAUUAUCAUGAUUGAAUGAUUAUACAAUGAAUUGAAUGCUUUUGUGAUGAUUACCCACUUUUUGACGAUGAUGAAAGGAAAAAUUAUAAAGAGAAUCAUACAAGCAACAAACAAAAAAUAUUAAGUAAAAAUAAGAAAAAUUAAAAUUAAGACAAUUGAAAAAAAAGGGAAUGAAUCAAAUGAAAAUAAAUAAAAAAAGUAGUUUGAUCAAGUUGAAUGUCUUUUGAAAUUUUGAAUGAUUGCCUAGUUAUGUAAGAAAGGGGGAGUUUGUUUGAAAAAUUCAUUGACUAAAUCAUCUUAACAACCCUACCUUUUCUACAUAAGAAAGAGGGAGCUUUGUUAAAUAUCUAAAAUUUACUUGUUAAAAUUUAAAAUUUGUUUAAGGCUUGAAAGGUUGUAUUCAAAGAAUUUUGUCAUCAUUAAAAAAAGAUAGAUUGUUAGUUCUAGAAUUAAUUUUGAUGAUGUCAAAAUUAUUUGAAUACAAAUUAUGCUCAUUAAUAACAUGUUUGAGAGUGAUUAAAGGACUCCUCAAAGUGCUCAAUGGUUUUACUUAAAAAAGUUGUCUUCUCAAAAAAAUUUAAGUUUUCAAAUCUAAGACCUUCAAUUGGAAGCAAUAAAUCCAAAGAUUUGAAAAAAAAAAUUUAAUCUAGAAAUACCUCUCAACAAGUCCAUAUAUACACCAUUCAAUUUAAGAAGACGAGUCUAGCCUAGAACAAAGUUGGUUAAGAAAAGCUAUCAAAAAUAUCUUUUGGCAUGCUUGGUAUGGAGCUG